ACGGGGGGGGCGAGCGUUGUUCGGAAUUACUGGGCGUAAAGGGCGCGUAGGCGGCCGGCUCAGUCAGACGUGAAAUCCCUCGGCUCAACCGGGGAACUGCGUCUGAUACUGGCUGGCUCGAAUCCGGGAGAGGGAAGUGGAAUUCCAGGUGUAGCGGUGAAAUGCGUAGAUAUCGGGAGGAACACCAGUGGCGAAAGCGGCUACCUGGACCAACACUGACACUGAGGUACGAAAGCGUGGGGAGCAAACAG
rnacentral:rRNA from 1 species